CCGCUCAGCGCCAUGGCGGCCGCCGGCUGCCGAGCCCCGAGAUAUCGAUCCUCGCCGCCGCCCUCACGGCCCCCCGAGCCGCGUCGGUUCCGCUCACCGGUGCAGAGCCGUUAGCUCAGCGGUGCCACAAAGGGAAGACGAGUCACCAUGGAGGCCUUUGGCCCCGCAGCCUUCUGCCGGCCAGGGGUGUUGUGGAGCUUCAGCCAGAAAUGUCCUCUCUUUUCCUGACACUUUGACCAUCCCCCUGACUGUACCCACUGCUGUGCUGCCACCCACAAGAAAUGGCAGAGAGAAAAGCAGGCCUUUUCAUUCAGGUGAAGCUGGCUUGGUUUGUCUAUUACCUCCCUCCCUUAGAGACACUGUUCCACAUAAAGGUUUGUUUCCACAGACAUCAUCAUGUUACUGGGACGCUGCAUUUCUGUAGAUAAUUUUCAGUUUCCUUUGUCCCUUCUUACCUUUGGGUCCUGGAGUUUGUGUUGAAUAGGACAGGCAAUUCCUGUUGUGUCGCCUUCUUUCAUUUCACCUGAUGCUGUUUCGUUUACCACAUCCAAGUAAUGCCAUAAUCACACACUGGAUAAUGUCUGGAUUUUGCUGUGGUUUAACUGAGCAGCCCUUUGCACCUGCUUUUUUGUUGUUGUCCACCAUUACAAUGGGUACUCUGUGGCUGAAACAUUCAAAUCAGGACCUUAUUAUUUUAUUUCAGUUUCAUGGAGUUGAGGGCAGCAUUUUAUAAGCAUUAAAUCCACUUUGAAAAAUUGGAUUUUAACAAACGAAGAAAUAAACAGGCAUGAGAGAGAAACAGAUAUUCUAAUUAACCAAAAGAUGAGGCUAAUUAUCUGAAUCCAGUAAACUCUCCGGAAGUAAGUUGGACAGCAGAGAAUAUGUGUUAAAAACAAGGAGCCAUCCCCUAGCAUGGGCUUGUGGUAAAAACAUUGCAGUGCUACCAUUUAAUACGUAUCAUUAAUAUGCAGCAGCAAGUAUGUGGCUGUAUGAAUUCAGCACUGCAGAGGCAACGAGUAUAGGAAAGGAGAUUGUUUUGAGGUUAAAACCCCAGUCUGGGUGGCGGGACACUAGGUUGUGUUUCACACCUUGUCAGGCUGCUUUUGUGAUCUUUACUGAAUUAUGUCAGUGAGUUGCCAACUGUGUGAUCCUGUGAAAUGUAUAUCAUUCCUAUACUGAAAUCAGUGUAUUCCACAGUCAGUGUUUAAAAAAUGAAAUUAUAUAUACUGUGUGUUAUAUCAACAUUUCUUGCAGAGGUACAGGCACUUCUGUGCUACAGGCUGGCUCCGCUGCAUGCCAGACUUUCACAGUUUGUAUCUUUGUACAGUUUGUUUACAAUUACUCCCACUUUUCAGUCCUUUGGAAAAGUACCAAGGCAGGGAUGUGAAGUUACAGCUGUACACAAAACCUUGAUUCUCCCGUUUCACCUGUAUAUUGUUUACAGUUUAGUCCAUCUUAAUACAGGGUUAAAGAGAUACUAGUAUCAGUACAGUUUGUAUUGGUUUUGUUAAAUGAAAAAGCAAUAAUUGCUCACAUCUGUUACAAUAUUUCAAAUCUUGAUGAUUUUAAUUGCCUAAAAAUGCAAUUAAUAGGUCACUACUUAGGGUGAAACUUCUCUAGUCAAUUCAAACAUAUAUACAUUAAUCUGAAAUUGAGAACUUUAAAGAUUCUCAUGAAAUUUAUGGUGGUAUUUUUGUGUCCCAAGUUUAUCAAAGCUUUCAGUCAUGGAUGCUUUAUCCCGAAGCAUGCAUUUAUGCCAUGCCUGAAUAGAAGCUGUGCUCCAUUCAUAACACUUCUCCAUAUCCACACAGACAGUGUAGGUGAUACUCCACAUUUCUGACCUCAUAUUGUGUGCUGUUGUGACACACUGUCCCUUGUACAAAAUGCUUGUCAAAUGCAGCUGCAUAAUCUCUGCAAUUUCAAUAGGUUCUUCAGCUUGGAGCAUCUCUUUGCCUUUCUGUGUUUCUCUGCUUCUGUGUGAGUGUGGAUUCGCGUACUAUUGCUCACUCUCUUAACUGUACAUCCCACCACACACCAGCAAAAAGGCCCAAAGUGAAUCUAUCCUGAGAUCGAUACAUCCCUCUAAAGUAGCUGUGAAUUCACACUGCUUGAGAAUCUGGCUCUGUCUUCUGAGAAUACGAAUUACAGAUUUAGUAAUGAAAGCUCAGUCUCAACCACAGAAAGUAGUUGUAUAAGCUGCCUUUUGCUACUUCAUUAAGAUCAACAUAUCCUAGAAAAACUACUGUCUGUGAGUUUAGUCCAGUCAGCCACUGGGGUGAUGAUCUGGCCUUUCUGCAGUAAACAAGCUUUGCUGUUAACUUUCACAGUGUCAGAAAUUUGUCCCCUCAUACUCUGUUAAAGUAGAACAAAUUACUGAUGCCUGUGAUGGUGAUUUCUGUACUUUGGACAUUUACCCUUGUACCUGAACCAAAAUACUCAUCUUUUAUUUCCUUUGAGUCACAGCUGAUGGUAUUACUGUGCUUUAAUGAUUUAGAUGAAAAGACUUGCAAGUAGCUUUUUACAGCUAAUCUUUAUAUUGGCUAAUCAGUAGAAAAUAAAUAUUUUCCUACGAGUUUAUUAUUAACCACUAUUAUAGGGACUGGAAACUCUAGACCAGGGUUAUUCCCAGAUAUUGUUUGCAUGGAUACUGAGCUUCAGCUCUGUGCUGGGUACCACAUAUACUACCACUUGGCCAUCCUGCCCUAAACUUAUUUCCAGUGAACCAUUCCUGCUGGAUAGUGUUGUCCACUGCAUUCAGUAAAGACAAUUUCUCCUACAUUGCCAGUGCAAUGGAUUGAUAAGCCUUUGUUUUUACAAACUGUUUACAACACCUUGCCCAUGAGCCAUUUAUUUGCGCUUUAGCUAUGGCAUACCGAAUUCACGUUCUUUAUUGUGUGUGCCUUUGAUAAUUUGAGAAAGCAAACACGGAGCAUUCUGAGAAGCAGGUAGUCUUGGAGGGAAGAAAGCAUUGAUCUGAAGUGAUGUAAUAUCUGAAAGAUUUUGUCCAAAACAAUCAUACAUCUACUUUUUUCUAGUUUAAAAGAUGAACAAAUUAAAAGAGACAAAUUAAAUUCCAUCUAGUGCUUUCAGCUGCAGACCAGGACUUUUCACAUGACAGAAUGGCACAAACUCUGAAUUUGCGUCUCCUGGCCUGAAGUUCCAGUCCUUACGGACUUCCUUGACUCUCAACAACUUCAGUGUAACUGUGACAGCCUGGAGCGUUUUUCUUUCAAAGAAUUGCUAAGAUUGAAAAAUGAAGCUCUUAGAAAAUGCUAAAAUGAAGGUUGCUGUUGUGAAUUUAAUUCCUCUGUUCUUUCUGACAUAUUAGUAUGCUCUAUUUUCUAUAGUAUCAGUGAUUCAUUAACUAUACAUUUGGGUAAGUUACUGAAUGAAGCUGUUCUAUAUUCAUCUCUUGCUAUCACAUUCCAGUAUAUGGCCCAUGCCUUGUUCGGUAAGCAUCAUAUAAUUGCUGCUGGAUGAGGCCAAGAAGUAGCAUGUGACUAGAUGAUCGGAGGAACAUUCUGUGAGACACAUUCACAGGGAACAGGAGCUAAGAUGUCAAAGAUGAUUUUAACAUGGGUAUUUCCAUUCUUGGUGUUGUAACAAUGUGAUUCUUUUAAAACACUGAUUUUUGUGGAAUUUCUCACGUCUGCUGGAUUGCUUUCAGAAAAGCAGAAGGAUUAAACUCCAUUUGUGCAAUUUUUCACCAGUUAACACAAGAAGUCUCUUUGCUUAAUAAAACCUUGCACCGUA